UGCAUAUCAAUAAGCGGAGGAAAAGAAACUAACCAGGAUUCCCCUAGUAACGGCGAGUGAGGCGGGAAUAGCUCAAAUUUUAAAUCUGACUGGCGUUGGUCAGUCCGAGUUGUAAUUUGAAGAAGCGUUUAUCACGUUUUCCGUUCGGGUUCAAGUUCCUUGGAAUAGGACAUCAGAGAGGGUGAGAAUCCCGUCUGUGAUCCGAUCGGUUUCGGUACGAUAUCGUUUCCAAGAGUCGAGUUGUUUGGGAUUGCAGCUCUAAAUGGGUGGUAAAUUCCAUCUAAGGCUAAAUAUUGGCGAGAGACCGAUAGCGAACAAGUACCGUGAGGGAAAGAUGAAAAGAACUUUGAAAAGAGAGUUAAACAGUACGUGAAAUUGUUGAUAGGGAAACGAUUGAAGUCAGUCAUGCCGGUGAGAAAUCAGCUCACAGGCUACUGUGGGUGCACUUUUUCGCAAGGCAGGUUAACAUCGGUUUUUGUUGCGUUAUAAUAAUUGUAGGAAGGUGGCUCCUUCGGGAGUGUUAUAGCCUACUUUAGAUGACGUGACGGGGACUGAGGAUUGCAGCGGAUGCCUUUGGCUACGAAUCUUGUCUCUGUCGAUCUUCAAUUGGUUUUCAGCUUGCUGAGAUCUGCUUGAUAGGUUUACAAUAGGUUUGAUUUCGUUAAAUUCGUUAAGGAUGUUGACGUA
rnacentral:rRNA from 1 species